rnacentral:rRNA from 1 species
GAUGAACGCUGGCGGCGUGCCUAAUACAUGCAAGUCGAGCGAACAGACGAGGAGCUUGCUCCUCUGACGUUAGCGGCGGACGGGUGAGUAACACGUGGAUAACCUACCUAUAAGACUGGGAUAACUUCGGGAAACCGGGGCUAAUACCGGAUAAUAUAUUGAACCGCAUGGUUCAAUAGUGAAAGACGGUUUUGCUGUCACUUAUAGAUGGAUCCGCGCCGCAUUAGCUAGUUGGUAAAGUAACGGCUUACCAAGGCAACGAUGCGUAGCCGACCUGAGAGGGUGAUCGGCCACACUGGAACUGAGACACGGUCCAGACUCCUACGGGAGGCAGCAGUAGGGAAUCUUCCGCAAUGGGCGAAAGCUUGACGGAGCAACGCUGCGUGAGUGAUGAAGGUCUUCGGAUCGUAAAACUCUGUUAUUAGGGAAGAACAAAUGUGUAAGUAACUAUGCACGUCUUGACGGUACCUAAUCAGAAAGCCACGGCUAACUACGUG